GUUCGCGUAACUCAGUGGUAGAGUGUGAGAUUGCAACCGAGUUGAAAAAUCUUGAAGCCGCGUGUUCGAACCACGCCGCGAACU